AAAUUGAAGAGUUUGAUCAUGGCUCAGAUUGAACGCUGGCGGCAGGCCUAACACAUGCAAGUCGAACGGUAACAGGAAACAGCUUGCUGUUUCGCUGACGAGUGGCGGACGGGUGAGUAAUGUCUGGGAAACUGCCUGAUGGAGGGGGAUAACUACUGGAAACGGUAGCUAAUACCGCAUAACGUCGCAAGACCAAAGAGGGGGACCUUCGGGCCUCUUGCCAUCGGAUGUGCCCAGAUGGGAUUAGCUAGUAGGUGGGGUAACGGCUCACCUAGGCGACGAUCCCUAGCUGGUCUGAGAGGAUGACCAGCCACACUGGAACUGAGACACGGUCCAGACUCCUACGGGAGGCAGCAGUGGGGAAUAUUGCACAAUGGGCGCAAGCCUGAUGCAGCCAUGCCGCGUGUAUGAAGAAGGCCUUCGGGUUGUAAAGUACUUUCAGCGGGGAGGAAGGGAGUAAAGUUAAUACCUUUGCUCAUUGACGUUACCCGCAGAAGAAGCACCGGCUAACUCCGUGCCAGCAGCCGCGGUAAUACGGAGGGUGCAAGCGUUAAUCGGAAUUACUGGGCGUAAAGCGCACGCAGGCGGUUUGUUAAGUCAGAUGUGAAAUCCCCGGGCUCAACCCGGGAACUGCAUCUGAUACUGGCAAGCUUGAGUCUCGUAGAGGGGGGUAGAAUUCCGGUGUAGCGGUGAAAUGCGUAGAGAUCUGGAGGAAUACCGGUGGCGAAGGCGGCCCCUGGACGAAGACUGACGCUCAGGUGCGAAAGCGUGGGGAGCAAACAGGAUUAGAUACCCUGGUAGUCCACGCCGUAAACGAUGUCGACUUGGAGGUUGUGCCCUUGAGGCGUGGCUUCCGGAGCUAACGCGUUAAGUCGACCGCCUGGGGAGUACGGCCGCAAGGUUAAAACUCAAAUGAAUUGACGGGGGCCCGCACAAGCGGUGGAGCAUGUGGUUUAAUUCGAUGCAACGCGAAGAACCUUACCUGGUCUUGACAUCCACGGAAGUUUUCAGAGAUGAGAAUGUGCCUUCGGGAACCGUGAGACAGGUGCUGCAUGGCUGUCGUCAGCUCGUGUUGUGAAAUGUUGGGUUAAGUCCCGCAACGAGCGCAACCCUUAUCCUUUGUUGCCAGCGGUCCGGCCGGGAACUCAAAGGAGACUGCCAGUGAUAAACUGGAGGAAGGUGGGGAUGACGUCAAGUCAUCAUGGCCCUUACGACCAGGGCUACACACGUGCUACAAUGGCGCAUACAAAGAGAAGCGACCUCGCGAGAGCAAGCGGACCUCAUAAAGUGCGUCGUAGUCCGGAUUGGAGUCUGCAACUCGACUCCAUGAAGUCGGAAUCGCUAGUAAUCGUGGAUCAGAAUGCCACGGUGAAUACGUUCCCGGGCCUUGUACACACCGCCCGUCACACCAUGGGAGUGGGUUGCAAAAGAAGUAGGUAGCUUAACCUUCGGGAGGGCGCUUACCACUUUGUGAUUCAUGACUGGGGUGAAGUCGUAACAAGGUAACCGUAGGGGAACCUGCGGUUGGAUCACCUCCUUA
rnacentral:rRNA from 1 species